ACUCCUACGGGAGGCAGCAGUGGGAAUAUUGCACGAAUCGGGCGCAAGCCUGAUGCAGCCAUGCCGCGUGUGUGAAGAAGGCCUUCGGGUUGUAAAGCACUUUCAGUUGUGAGGAAAGGUUAGUCGCUAAUAUCGGCUAGCUGUGACGUUAGCAACAGAAGAAGCACCGGCUAACUCCGUGCCAGCAGCCGCGGGUAAUACGGAGGGUGCGAGCGUUAAUCGGAAUUACUGGGCGUAAAGCGCGUGUAGGUGGCUUGUUAAGCCCGAGAUGUGGAAAGCCCCGGGCUCAAUCCUGGGAACUGCAUUUGGAACUGGCAGGCUAGAGUUUUGUAGAGGGUGGUAGGAAUUUCAGGUGUAGCGGUGAAAUGCGUAGAGAUCCUGAAGG
rnacentral:rRNA from 1 species